rnacentral:tRNA from 1 species
GCUCCGGUGGAAUCGCUGGUGGCGGUUGGACUCGCAAUCCAAAGGUCGUCAGUUCGAACCCUGGAGUG